AGUUUGAUCAUGGCUCAGGAUGAACGCUGGCGGCGUGCUUAACACAUGCAAGUCGAACGAACCUUCGGGUUAGUGGCGGACGGGUGAGUAACGCGUGAGAAUCUGCCCUCAGGAGGGGGAUAACGGCUGGAAACGGCCGCUAAUACCCCAUAUGCCGCAAGGUGAAAUGAAUUUCGCCUGAGGAUGAGCUCGCGUCUGAUUAGCUAGUUGGUGGGGUAAAGGCCUACCAAGGCAUCGAUCAGUAGCUGGUCUGAGAGGAUGAUCAGCCACACUGGGACUGAGACACGGCCCAGACUCCUACGGGAGGCAGCAGUGGGGAAUUUUCCGCAAUGGGCGAAAGCCUGACGGAGCAACGCCGCGUGAGGGAUGAAGGCCUCUGGGCUGUAAACCUCUUUUAUCAAGGAAGAAGAUCUGACGGUACUUGAUGAAUAAGCCACGGCUAAUUCCGUGCCAGCAGCCGCGGUAAUACGGGAGUGGCAAGCGUUAUCCGGAAUUAUUGGGCGUAAAGCGUCCGCAGGCGGCCCUUCAAGUCUGCUGUUAAAACGUGGAGCUUAACUCCAUCAUGGCAGUGGAAACUGUUGGGCUUGAGUGUGGUAGGGGCAGAGGGAAUUCCCGGUGUAGCGGUGAAAUGCGUAGAUAUCGGGAAGAACACCAGUGGCGAAGGCGCUCUGCUGGGCCAUCACUGACGCUCAUGGACGAAAGCCAGGGGAGCGAAAGGGAUUAGAUACCCCUGUAGUCCUGGCCGUAAACGAUGAACACUAGGUGUCGGGGGAAUCGACCCCCUCGGUGUCGUAGCCCACGCGUUAAGUGUUCCGCCUGGGGAGUACGCACGCAAGUGUGAAACUCAAGGAAUUGACGGGGGCCCGCACAAGCGGUGGAGUAUGUGGUUUAAUUCGAUGCAACGCGAAGAACCUUACCAGGGUUUGACAUCCUGCGAAUCUCUUGGAAACGAGAGAGUGCCUUCGGGAGCGCAGUGACAGGUGGUGCAUGGCUGUCGUCAGCUCGUGUCGUGAGAUGUUGGGUUAAGUCCCGCAACGAGCGCAACCCACGUCUUUAGUUGCCAGCAUUUAGUUGGGCACUCUAGAGAGACCGCCGGUGAUAAACCGGAGGAAGGUGUGGAUGACGUCAAGUCAUCAUGCCCCUUACAUCCUGGGCUACACACGUACUACAAUGCUACGGACAAAGGGCAGCAAGUUCGCGAGGACAAGCAAAUCCCAUAAACCGUGGCUCAGUUCAGAUCGUAGGCUGCAACUCGCCUACGUGAAGGAGGAAUCGCUAGUAAUCGCAGGUCAGCAUACUGCGGUGAAUACGUUCCCGGGCCUUGUACACACCGCCCGUCACACCAUGGAAGUUGGCCACGCCCGAAGCCGUUACUCCAACCCUUGUGGAGGAGGACGUCGAAGGUGGGGCUGAUGACUGGGGUGAAGUCGUAACAAGGUAACCGUA
rnacentral:rRNA from 1 species